UGAUACCACUGUAAUGGCAGAAAGUGAAGAGGAACUAAAGAGUCUCUUGAUGCAGAUUGCUCCAGGCGGAAGAUUUCGAGGCUUUCACUUCAAAGGAGAUCCAGCCGUGAUGGGAGUCCAUAAGAAGGCACUUGCGCAUUCACCAGCAAGUGUUCCAUUACUCUGGGAGAGGGCAGAUUUGCUUAGCAACCUUGAAGAGCUUAGUCAUUCUCUCUGAUGUGCAACUGCAUGACUGAACACACCUUGAGGUCACGAUGCUGGCAACUCCUAUACAAGCGAGUGCUGAAACACCUUGCCAGAACAAUUAAAUGCUUAGUUUACAGACCUAAAUUAAAAAUAUAAAUAAAUCCUUCAAGGAAAAAGGGUCUGGCAAUGCUUGAAUGCCCAAAUCUGCCCCACAACAGAAGUGCAUGGAUUUAGGUGUCUUGGGGGUCUUUUGAGCUAGUUAAUGCUGGGAGGCAUUAGUUGGAUGUACAUUUUAGUUCACACCUUUGGUAGCAAGAAAAUUGGUAAGAACUAGACUCUGAAAGAAAUGCGCAGAAUAAAUUGCACUCCCCCCCGGCUCAAAGAUCUGACAAGAAUUUUUCACUUGAGUAUAUGGCAUGAGCUUUCCCCAUUCUAGAUAGAUUGAACUAAAGCUAUGUCUGCCUGUCUGAGAAUUAAAUGGCUUUUGGGGUCAAUCAUAACAGAAUUGCAAGAUUUGGGGAAGGUCAGAGGCCAUUUUUGUCAAAGGCUGGUGACCCCCAAGCAAGAGGUAGUCUUGACAAAAAAUUGGGAUUCAUUUGAGUAAUGUAGCGCUCACAGCGAUGUGCCUGCUGAGUAUCUUCUCUUCCCCCGCUCCCCCUGAAUGCCCAAAGGUAAUGAAAGUCUUUCAGAAUUGCACUGCUCUGUGUAAAACCCACUCUCUUCAUACACAUCUAUCAGGAAUAGUGAAGCUUUUUGGGCCCAAGGGUGGGCUGGUCAAAUGCAAAAGGAUAGAGCUAAAGUAGCAACAUUUUCAGCACAUUUUAGCUUAAAACACUCACUCCAAAUAAUUAAGUCUUAGAAGAGGCAUCACAAGCUUUUAGAGUUGGGAGGGUGAAACCCUUUGCUCACAUUGAACCACAUUUGCCUUUUUGAUGCCCAGAGUCCUCAGAAUCCUUUUCUGUUUUAGUUCGGUAUCAUCAGCAAACUUGGCUACUUGACUGCUCAUUCACAAUUCCAGAUAAUUUCUGUAAAAAUUGUGAAGUACUGGUUCAAUGCUCAUCUCUGUGGACCCUUACUAUUUAUACCCCUCCUUUGGAAGAACUUGCCAUUUAUUCCUACUUUGAUUUCUAUACUUUAACCACCAUGGCUCUAAGGUUGCUCAGGAGUGAUUGGUAAGGAUCUUGUCAAAAGCCUUUUGGAAAUCCAAGUAAUGCCGACAGAUCAUUCCAGUCCACAGGUCUGUUCCCAUUUCAAAGAACUCUAAGAAGUCAGUGAGACAAGACUUACCUUUGUGAAAGCCAUGCUGGUUCUUUCUUGGCCAGGCUUGUCCUUCUAUAUGUUUACUAAUUUUAUUUUUAAUAGCAUUUUCACCCAAUUUAUCUAAAACAGAUAUUAACUGGUCUGUAAUUUCCUGAAUCCUCCUAGAUCCUUUAAAAAUUUGGUGUUAUAUUUGGAAGACUGCUUUGCAUUUUUCAGCUCUUACUGUCUUCUUGCAUCUCCUUUGUGCAAGCUAAUACUCCCUUUGCUUUCCUAGUUGAGCCAAGAGUUGCUUCUCCUUCUUAAGUCAAACGGCACGUGUGAAAAGGGUUACCCUGCAAUGACUCUGUUCUGAAUUCUCUCCUCCCAAGGUGACUUUUGCUUUGUGGAGGAAAAAAGGGGUAUCAGAGCUCUGUUUCACAAGUUCUGUGCAAUGGUGCACUGUUCCUGGUUUUUCUUUAUCCCAUCCACUGAAGACAGAGUAUGUGAAGCAAAGACAUUUAAUUAGUGUGCACCAUACUUGCCACAUUCGGGCCAGAUCCUGUAAACGGGAUCCUGCUAACUCCUAAUAAGUGGGCCUCCUCAUUCAUUGCAGUUCUCAUUUGCGAUGUAUAGGAGCUGUUCAUGGUGCUGAACCACUCAGAUUCAACACCAUAGAUAGCUCCUAUAAAGCUUUUAAAAAAGCUGCAAUGGAUGAGAAGCACCAGCCUCUCCUGCCAGGAAGGAAUCAACUACAACAUCUGGAACAAAGUUUUGCUGUUGUAGUCUAUUGUCACAAGCUAUAUGCAGAGGGUUUUGAUUUGGAGGAGGGGGGACAAGCCCAUAUUUAUAACGAAAAUCAAAUGAACAGGAUUCUGUUUUCUGUUCUCUUCAGACUGCAUAUUUGUAAGUCCAUAUGUUUAUUAUUUGUGUACACCACUUUGCAAUCUUUAGAUUUAAACAGUUUAUAAAUACUUGUAAAUAAAUAUAUAAGCCACACAUUUGUUUAAAACUUAAUUUAAACUGCCCACCCCAAAGCAGUCAUUCCAGUGUUGUAAACAGCGGACAGUCCUCUGUAAAAGGGGACACACAGCCACCCUUCAAGGAGGGGACGGGAAACUUUCAUUACACAAACCUGCUAACUUAGCUUAGGCUCUUACCUCUCCCUUUUUAACUGCAUGCUAGCUAUUCUCUCCUGGCAUACAGAUUGAGAUGUGGACUAUAUUGAUAUACAGUACAUACACAAUACCUGUUUAUAACACAGACAUUUCAAAUAAAUUAAGCUAAGAUUCUUGA